rnacentral:rRNA from 1 species
UACGGAGGGUGCAAGCGUUGUUCGGAAUUACUGGGCGUAAAGCGCGUGUAGGCGGUCUCCUAAGUCUGGUGUGAAAGCCCGGGGCUCACCCCCGGAAGUGCACUGGAUACUGGGAGACUGGAGUACCGGAGAGGAGGGUGGAAUUCCUGGUGUAGCGGUGAAAUGCGUAGAUAUCAGGAAGAACACCGGUGGCGAAGGCGGCCCUCUGGACGGAUACUGACGAUGAGACGCGAAAGCGUGGGGAGCAAACAGG